rnacentral:rRNA from 1 species
CUACGGAGGGUGCAAGCGUUACUCGGAAUCACUGGGCGUAAAGCGCGCGCAGGCGGCUAUUUAAGUUGGAUGUGAAAGCCUACGGCUCAACCGUAGAACUGCAUCCAAAACUAUUUAGCUAGAGUGUGGGAGAGGAAGAUGGAAUUAGUUGUGUAGGGGUAAAAUCCGUAGAGAUAACUAGGAAUACCAAAAGCGAAGGCAAUCUUCUGGAACACUACUGACGCUGAGGCGCGAAAGCGUGGGGAGCAAACGGGAUUAGAUACCCCAGUAGUUC